CUCCCCUUUCAUUAGGAGCGUGCUGUACUGUAAUUGGGCACGUCUAAAGGAAGGGAGCA
rnacentral:pre_miRNA from 1 species